rnacentral:misc_RNA from 1 species
AGCAGCCGCGGUAAUUCCAGCUCCAAUAGCGUAUAUUAAAGUUGCUGCAGUUAAAAAGCUCGUAGUUGAAUUUCGGGACUAAUAUGUCGGUCGUGCCUCGGUACGUACUGGCUUAUUGGUUUCUCCUUUCUGAAGAACCAUGAUGUCAUUUAUUUGGUGUCGUGGGGAAUCAGGACUGUUACUUUGAAAAAUUAGAGUGUUUAAAGCAGGCUCACGCUUGAAUACAUUAGCAUGGAAUAAUGAAAUAGGACGUUUGAUUCUAUUUUGUUGGUUUCUAGGAUCGACGUAAUGAUUAAUAGGGAUAGUUGGGGGCAUUAGUAUUCAAUUGUCAGAGGUGAAAUUCUUGGAUUUAUUGAAGACUAACUACUGCGAAAGCAUUUGCCAAGGAUGUUUUCAUUAAUCAAGAACGAAAGUUAGGGGAUCGAAGACGAUCAGAUACCGUCGUAGUCUUAACCAUAAACUAUGCCGACUAGGGAUCGGAUGAUGUUAAUUUUUUAAUGACUCAUUCGGCGCCUUAACC